rnacentral:rRNA from 1 species
GUGCCAGCAGCCGCGGUAAUACGUAGGGGGCAAGCGUUAUCCGGAUUUACUGGGUGUAAAGGGAGCGUAGGUGGUAUGGCAAGUCAGAUGUGAAAGCCCGGGGCUCAACCCCGGGGACUGCAUUUGAAACUGUCAAACUAGAGUGCAGGAGAGGUAAGUGGAAUCCCUAGUGUAGCGGUGAAAUGCGUAGAUAUUAGGAGGAACACCAGUGGCGAAGGCGGCUUACUGGACUGUAACUGACACUGAGGCUCGAAAGCGUGGGGAGCAAACAGGAUUAGAUACCCUGGUAGUCC